rnacentral:lncRNA from 1 species
AUGUCACCCGUACAGCAACACCGCGACUCCGCCGGUGUCACCGCGACUCCGCCGGUGUCACCGCAACACCACCGCCCUGACUCCCACGGUGUCACCGGUACAACCUGCCAUGACUGUCACCGUCACCGUGACACCCUGAGCNGCAGAGAUAUUGGGGGGGGGGGAUUGGCUUUGGGGAUCGAAGGAGCUUUUUGGGGGGGCUUAGGUCUUCAGGGCCCUCCUCCCUCCCCCCUUCCCCCCCCUGGGUGGUUGUGGGGCGCUGUGGGGCUGCCCCAUCUCUGUGUCAUUCCCCCCCCCCCCCCCCAGUGCUGGAGCUGUGCUUGUCCCACGCCCUGGACCCGGUGACGCUGGCUAACGAGCUCCUCGCCUUCGUCACCAGCAAAGACCUCGACCUCCAGCUCAGCACCGAGGCCCUCAGCGCCUUCGAGCACGAGGUGAGACCCCAAAAUCCCUGAAAUCUACCCCAAAAUGGUGCUGAGAUAUCUAGGGAGGGGGGGGAACCUUUCUCUUUACCCCCCCCAUAGGUGCUCAGCAGAAGGGACAGAAGGAUUCCCCGCAGGACGGACAGCAGCCGCUGUCUGCACGACGUCCACACUUUGCAGGAGCUGUAUCCUCUCGUUUUGGGGGGAAUUUGGGGGAAAUCUGACAAAUUCGGGGGGGAUUUCUUAAAAAAAUAGGGUGAAUUUGUGGGAAACCUGGCAAAUUUGGGGGGAUUUAUUAAGAAAAUGAGCAAAAACGGAGCGUUAUUAAUGAGGAAAAAGUGCAUUUGGGGGAUCUCUCCUGUUAACCUCCAAAGCAGAGUGGGCUGAGCUCCUUCUCUUCCAGUUUUGGGGUGAAUCUGUGAGAAAUGGGACAAAUUUGGGGGGGAUUUCCUAAAAACGGGGGUGAAUUGGUAACGAAUGCAUCGAAUUUGGGGUGAUUUCUUCGGAAAACGAGCAAAACCAGAGCGUUAUUAAUGGGGACCGAGCCAUUUGGGGGGGGGCAUCUCCCAUUAAAACCCCACGAACAGAGUGGGCCGAGCCCCUCCUCCCUUCGUUAACACCAAUUAAUGAAGCGGUGAGCAGUGAGCACCCCAACAAUAACGAGGUUCGGGUUGGCCCUUCCUUAAUGAUGCCCAGCCUCGACGAGGAGGAGGAGGACGAGCUCUUGGAUUCCUACUCCACUCCGUCCAAAGUGCGUUCCCAAAUCCCUCAUUUCCCCUUUUUUUCCCCCAAAACUCAUCCCCUUCCCCCCCCCCACCCAAACCCAUUCAUUCAUUCCCCUUUUUUCCCCCCAACUCAUCUUCUUUCCCCACCUUUUUUUUCCUUUUUCCCCUUUUUUUUCCCCAUUUUCCCCCAGAAUUCAU